rnacentral:rRNA from 1 species
AAUGAACGCUGGCGGCAGGCCUAACACAUGCAAGUCGAACGGGUCCUUCGGGACUAGCGGCGGACGGGUGAGUAACGCGUGGGAACAUACCCAAAGGUACGGAAUAGCCUCUGGAAACGGAGAGUAAUACCGUAUGUGCCCUUCGGGGGAAAGAUUUAUCGCCUUUGGAUUGGCCCGCGUUGGAUUAGGUAGUUGGUGGGGUAAUGGCCUACCAAGCCGACGAUCCAUAGCUGGUUUGAGAGGAUGAUCAGCCACACUGGGACUGAGACACGGCCCAGACUCCUACGGGAGGCAGCAGUGGGGAAUCUUAGACAAUGGGGGAAACCCUGAUCUAGCCAUGCCGCGUGAUCGAUGAAGGCCUUAGGGUUGUAAAGAUCUUUCAGAUGGGAAGAUAAUGACGGUACCAUCAGAAGAAGCCCCGGCUAACUCCGUGCCAGCCGCCGCUGUAA